rnacentral:lncRNA from 1 species
UGUUACACUCAAUAAAAAGAGGCUCCCCAGCCCCUUCUGGUGUCGGUCACCAGUGGCAUCUCCCGGCUGGAGUGGAGGGUGGCAACCUCCAGAAUCCUGCUGGAGCCCCAGAAGGAAUUCAGCCACGAGAAUUCAACCGCGGGAGCUGAGCUCACGUGUGGGACCUGCCGUGGAUGCAGGGCAGCCGAGGAAAUGAUGCACGGGAGAGGCAUCGUCCGCAUCCAGUGAGUCAGGACAAGUGGGAUGGAGGAGGAGAGUCUGUUUGGUAAAUAAACCUAUCACCAUUCCUUUGGAUGCCUCACUUCCCACUCAGGAAAAACGGUAUAAAAGUUGGUGGAUCUCGGGGUGCUUCAUUCGCUCAGCUUUGCCCUGAGGUGUCCGUGGUCAGAGCCGAGAAGGGGUCACUGCUCCAAGAUGUGCUCCAGACAAAGCGGGUGCCACGGCUGCGGCUGCUGCUGCUGCUGCCGGGUAGCCAACAGUCCCAGGGCUCCUCCGGCGGGGGAGGAGGCGGAUCCUGCUGCGGUGGAGGAUCCUCUGGAGGAUCAGCCCAGAAGAUCAUUAUCAGCUCUGGCGGUGGAGGAGGAGGAGGAGGCUCCUCCGGAUGCUGUGGAGGGGGAUCUGGUGGUGGCUCUUCAGGAGGGAAGAUCAUCAUGGGAGGGGGAGGCGGUGGCGGAUCCUCUGGAUGCUGCGGUGGCGGAUCCGGCGGCGGCUCCUCAGGCCAGACCAUCAUCAUCAGCUCUGGAGGUGGCGGCGGAGGCUCCUCCCAGCAGAAAUGUCCUGUUGUCAUCCCCAUGUCCCACCAGACCAAGCAGAGCUCCCACUGGCCCUGCCAGCAGAAGUAACAGCCCUGGGCUGCUCUGGUUCCCAUCAGGAACGGUCGAGUCCUUGCCCUCCCAGUUUUUCCCCAGCACAUCCUCGUCCCUUGUGUUCCCUUGGUGCUGCAUCCCUGUGCUGUGAACUCCCAGGUGGCUCCUCUGUGCCAUAAAUGUGACGGGAAAUAAAGAUUUCUGUGCACGGACA